GCCUGGCUGGCUCAGUUGGUAGAGCAUACAACUCUUGGCCUCAGGGUUGUGAGUUCAAGCCCCAUGUUGGGCA
rnacentral:tRNA from 1 species